rnacentral:lncRNA from 1 species
CCGGUCUCGCAGCCUAUCCCCUCUUCAGAUGUCCAGGGGUCCAAAUCCAGCCUGGCUCCAAGAGUGGUCGGUGCAGAACUGGCCAUGGCAUUCUACUUAGCAGGGAACCCUCCUCAGGCGAAUGGGGAAGCCCCAACCCCUGUUUUGUAGAGCGUUGCCUCCCUAUCCUGGACGAUGCGUGGAGCCAGGGUCCUCCAUCCAUGGCUACAGGCUAGUCCCGAAGCACAGCGAACAUGCAGGGCUGUGGUUGGAAUAACACCAGGAGCGGAGUUCUGAUUCCGGGCCCCACCCCCGUUAUCACGGCAGUUCCCUCCCCGGCCCCCUGCGGGGCCACGAGCCUCAGGGCGGGGGCGGAUAAAAGGCCGGGUGCGGCCGGGAUGCUGGGCACAGUCCCCCAGGAACGAGCGCCAGAUCGGUGUAGUGCUCUCAGUGCCAAAGACGACGACUUUGGGCCGGCCGAGGCCAGGGUUGCUGAUGCCACCUCCCGGUUCGGGCUAGCAGCUGGGCUGGUGCGCUCUCACACCUAGUCCGGGGCCACAGGGCUCUCCAGUUUGGAGGGAGGGGACAGUAGGGGAGAUAGCGAGUCAGUGAGUCUCAGGGAGCAGCCCGGGCGCGUCUGCGUGGCUACCUGGGCUCCAGACCCCAGCUCAGCGUCCAAAGCCCAGCCCCCUGUGCCAGGUGAGGUCCCCUCCAGCCCUGCAUUGACAGCUGGGGCCGGCGUGCACCUGGGCGGACCUGGGGGCUCCACCACAGGGCUCCUGGAGCAGGAGUAGCUUGGGAUUAGGGCAGAAAUCUCUGGCCUCCUAGGACCCUCAGGACCCUGGCUGGUUCCCGACCAAGAGGGAGAGGUGGGGAAAGCCCGGGGAGCGAAGCGGGAGGUGCUGCAGUUCUCUGUGAAGAGGUAGCUCCCGGGCGCAGCGCGGAUUGAGCCGGGGUGUUUGGUUUGCGCCGCCAGGCUAGAGGAGUGCGCGAGCUUGCGCGCGCGCGCGGGAAGAUUGUAUCCCCCUUCUCCUGGUCCCCCCCCACCAGCUUUCCCUCUUCCCUCCCCUACGCGAGGCCAGGACCCCUUGGUUGCUCUCGGCUGGGAAGGGGAGCCCAGAAAGCUACGGGAUCGGAAGGAGGACCGUACGGCCCCGGCAGGUGAUAGCGAGCGAGUUCUCACGCCCCCUCCUCCUACCCUCCACACAGACACACACGCGCGUACACACACACACGCACACAUACAGCCCUCCUCCUCUCCCGGCCCCCACCGUCUCUCCCCCACUCCCGCCCCCUUCUUCUUUUUUUUUUAAGCAGCACCCUACCCCCACCCCCCCCACCUUCCCGGAGAACACGCCCCGAGUAUUUGGAGGAGAAGAGGCAGAUAGUAGCAGUAGCAUUGAACCUGAGGGGCUCCGGCUGUGCGCAGACCUGCCGCUCGCGGAGCGACGGGCGACAGACAAGGCGAGAAAGCCGGAAUAAAAGAAAAGGAGAGUGAGGGGUGGGGGUAGCG